AAAAGGAAUACUUGGCAGCUGGAAGACACAACCCAUAUUCAACAGACCACUACUAACGUCUUUUGAACAAGGAUGAGGGGUAGCCACAUGAUCAUUGUUGGUCUUGUUCUUCUGGUGUUAGCCUCAGGUACCAGAUGUAGUGAUGUGUUCUAUUUCAUAUACAGUUUGAUAUGAAUAACCUACUCAAUGGUCUUUGAUGUUUUGAUCAUUUUUUGCGGGGAACAUUGUUAUGUGAAGGUACGGCGACAGCAGCGACAACGGGCGGAUCUCUAACUGGAAUAAAUUGCGUCGUCAAAACCCCUAUGCCUUGUGAUGAAAUCAAGAGAUGCGUCGAUACCUGCAACUCCUUGUCUCCGGUGCAUGGCAAACCUGAAAUUAGUUGCGUUGACAAACAGUGUAAAUGCACAUUUUGUUGAAGUUUGACAUGAAUCUACAAGCAAGGCAUAUAUUUCCUUGUUAUCAGAGUAGUAGUAAUAGUAAUCAUUGAGUGUGUAUUGGCAAUAUUUGAUACCAGCGGUGUUCUCAAAACAAUAAAUGGCAUGAAGAAAAUACAAUUGUGUAUGAAACAUCAUGUAUAACCAAAUCGGUAGCAGCGGGUUGUUGCUAUCUUAUCCAUACGUGCGCA
rnacentral:lncRNA from 1 species